rnacentral:piRNA from 1 species
UGAGGUUUUGGGUGAAUUGUUUUCCUACUU